rnacentral:tRNA from 1 species
GCCUGGGUGGCUCAGUCGGUUAAGCGUCCGACUUCAGCUCCGGUCAUGAUCACGGUUCGUGGGUUUGAGCCCCACGUCAGGCU